rnacentral:rRNA from 1 species
ACCUACGGGGCGCAGCAGCCGCGGUAAUACGUAGGGAGCGAGCGUUGUCCGGAUUUACUGGGUGUAAAGGGUGCGCAGGCGGCUCUGCAAGUCAGGCGUGAAAGCUAGGGGCUCAACCCCUAAACUGCGCUUGAAACUGUGGAGCUUGAGUGAAGUAGAGGCAGGCGGAAUUCCCGGUGUAGCGGUGAAAUGCGUAGAGAUCGGGAGGAACACCAGUGGCGAAGGCGGCCUGCUGGGCUUUAACUGACGCUCAGGCACGAAAGCAUGGGUAGCAAACAGGAUUAGAAACCCCGGUAGUCCUGCGC